rnacentral:rRNA from 1 species
UACGAAGGGUGCAAACGUUGCUCGGAAUUAUUGGGCGUAAAGCGCACGUAGGCGGCUUAGCAAGUCGGAAGUGAAAUCCCACGGCUCAACCAUGGAAGUGCUUUCGAAACUGCUGAGCUUGAGUACGAAAGAGGAUCGCGGAAUUCCCGGUGUAGAGGUGAAAUUCGUAGAGAUCGGGAGGAACACCAGUGGCGAAGGCGGCGAUCUGGGUCGAUACUGACGCUGAGGUGCGAAAGAGUGGGGAGCAAACAGG